GACCAUCGAGGAUGGUAUCUGCUCGUCGAAGCCGCCUGGAUCACUCUGACCUUGGGAGGUUCAACGGCACUCUCCGAUGCCGAUGAGCCGUGCGGUAUCGCUCUUGAGCGGUCUCGGAGGGCAGAAAUGACCCCGGAGGAACGCUUGCAAAGCUGUUUCGGACAAAACGGCUUCAAACAUGUAAACUGCGUGUUCCACGGUGGCUCCGUUAGCUGUCGCUCGCUCGGCUACAACCCAGAAUUGGCAGAAGCCAUCGCCACGGGGGGGGUGGCGGCCGGCCUCAUCUGCGUCGCCGUCUUCGCCGUCGUCGCAUGGUGGUGCAAAAGACGAAAGAGACGGAAUGCAGCUAGAAUCUAGGCGCCACAUACAUCGUGAGCGGCACCUGCUACGAGAAAAACAGCCAUCGGAUCAAACAACCAACAUCGGAUGACACUGGCAGCGAAUUUCACAAGAUCUGAGAGAUGCAUCGACGGCCCAAUUGUUUUCCACCGUCAUUACGGCAAGCAAUGCCGGCGAUGAAAUAAAUCAGUGAAUCAAAAA